GAUGAACGCUGGCGGCGUGCCUAAUACAUGCAAGUCGAGCGAACGGACGAGAAGCUUGCUUCUCUGAUGUUAGCGGCGGACGGGUGAGUAACACGUGGAUAACCUACCUAUAAGACUGGGAUAACUUCGGGAAACCGGAGCUAAUACCGGAUAAUAUUUUGAACCGCAUGGUUCAAAAGUGAAAGACGGUCUUGCUGUCACUUAUAGAUGGAUCCGCGCUGCAUUAGCUAGUUGGUAAGGUAACGGCUUACCAAGGCAACGAUGCAUAGCCGACCUGAGAGGGUGAUCGGCCACACUGGAACUGAGACACGGUCCAGACUCCUACGGGAGGCAGCAGUAGGGAAUCGUACGCAAUGGGCGAAAGCAUGACGGAGCAACGCCGCGUGAGUGAUGAAGGUCUUCGGAUCGUAAAACUCUGUUAUUAGGGAAGAACAUAUGUGUAAGUAACUGUGCACAUCUUGACGGUACCUAAUCAGAAAGCCACGGCUAACUACGUG
rnacentral:rRNA from 1 species